AAGAGAGGUAAAGAGGGAUUUUUACCUCCAGGCAUAGAGGAAGGAGAGCUGAGAAGUCCGCAGGAACAAACCUUGUGACUUUUCACUACUUUACUGCGACUGCCCAGAUUCCGCUCAGAAUUCCAUAAUUCCAUAUUAUUCCAAGGCCCAAAGAGCUUUUCCUUAUUUUGCCAAAUCCUCACAGAUGUAUUCUUUCUUUUCCUAAAAAGCAUAAAAACAAUCUGCAUUAGUUAUUUCUCCAGGGCUCCCUUUCAUGAUGGGUUGUGGAUGCAUGUAAUUACAAGCUAGGAUUUGUUUCUGCUGUCAUAUUUCUUAGUCAAUCUGAAUGUUAGUCCAGGUAAAAUAAUCUUGAAUAUUAAAGGAAAAUUAUUCCUCUCGCCACAUUUUUCCAUAAAGUCCUAAAUAACACAAGCGCACAAUCAGACAUCUCAAGAAUGCUUUCCAGGUGGUUGUACUCAACAAUCCCACAACAGUUACUGAAAAACCCAAGUUUGGCUGCCAGUCGCAUUAAAAGCCAAGACACAGGCAUGAGUUUUGAUUGGAAAGGAACAGGAGGUGUGGUGUAUUCAGGAGGCCGGCCACUUGGGAAGAAGGUGGAGUCUUGUCCAAAAACCAGCUCUAAGGUUUCUGCCCGGCCCAACGAUUUUUAAAGGACCACCACGUCAGUUAAUCAGUACAAAGGGGGCCACAGGAAUCUGUACCACUAUUUGAGAGCAGACUCCCGGCGGCUCCCUGUACACAUGAAGGAGGUGCUGGGCAGGGUAUGAUGGUGCCCAGGGCGAGCUUGUGCAGGACAGUUCAGUUGCUCUCUCCUUUCUCCUGUGCAUAUGCUUGCCCCUUUCUGAAAUGCUACAUCCCCAACCCCUUCUUAAGUCACAGUGGCAUGUAAGCAUCAGUCGCCUGUCUUUGAGCCUCAUGUCUCUGAGGCUUCGCUAAGACAUCACUUUCUUUUUCCCUUGUGAAUCUGUCUUAUGUCCACUUACAUAUUAGAGCGGUCAAGGAAUUGAGAAUGGAGGAAGAAACACGUGUUCCUCUUCUUCACAUUCUGCUGUCAAAACCUGACCUCCCUGCUUCGGAGCCAAAAUAGAACGUGAAGAUGGAGCUGGGGAUCAAGAGGAACAACAGGUUAAUUCCUUCACCAGCAAGAGAGGCUGCAGCAGCUUUAUGUGUUUACGUGGUUUCAGUUCAGUCACCAGGACAGCUGUAGGAAGACCACUUCAUUUUUCCUGAGAGAAACAACUCCGUAUUUUCUAUAAUGGCUACUGACACAAAGAGCAAGGAAACUGGACCUUUUCUGCAUUUCAAAGUCCUGCCUGCAGGCAACACAUUCAUGGUUGGAGAUGCCCUGUUGGGGCUUUAAAGGCAUUUUCUCCUGCUGCAGCUGUGAUUUCUCCUGGAAUCCUUCUCAGCGAGAAGUGCAGAGGACAAGGUGAAGAAGAAAUGGCCAGUUCUCAGGUAAGCCUUGCGUGCGAGUUCUGAGGCUCUGUCGUCCUUUUCUAGAGAAAUUCCUUACAUUUAGAAAUUGUUACUAUUGAUUUUUUUCUAGUUCUGAUGUUUCUGCUCUAUGUUUACACCCAGUUUUCAAACCUUUUCAGACAUGAUACUCAAAUUCGGUCUUUAGAACCCUUCUCUCCUAUCAGCCAGAGCCUUUUCUCCCUUCUCUCCAACCGGGCUUAGAGUAGGCCUUCAAGAGUUGUCACUUUGAAUGAAAGACCUGCCUGCUGGUAUUGUAAAU